rnacentral:lncRNA from 1 species
UCCGUUUCAAAUUACUUGUCCACUUUCAAAAAAUCACAUAGUUUAAGAAAAGUGGAUUUUGAGAAAAAAGAGGUGUAAUAAGUCAUUAAUUGAACCUAAUAUGUGGUAUAGAGUUGAUCUUGGAAAUAUAAAUUUGAAAUAUGUGGAGGAGAGUUGAUUUUGGAAAUAUAAAUUUGCAUUGAAAGUUGAAGUGGACAAGUAUUUUGAAACAAAACUUUUUUUCUAAGGUGGACAUGUAUUUUGAAACGGAGGGAG